CGAUGGAGCGCCAAGCCCGCCUCAGCGAGCCACAGCGCUCGGUUGGAGGCUCGGUUGAAGCGGAGGGUGCUGCGGACCCCCAGAGCCCCCGACUUUCACAGUGCACCCUUUCCGUAGGCUGUUCUCCCAGACGUAUCUGUUUUUCCUGGACUGAACAUCCCGAUUACUAACGUUACAUAUGGUUUGAAGCUAUUUAAAGAUUUGCUUUCCCGCUGCAGGUCCCCAGAUGCCCCUGCAGCCCCUGUCUCUCCUCAGUGAUGUGGCUGGAUCCCUGCUCCUGCCAGCGCGGUUGGCGUAUGGCCUUGCCACCUGGAAUUCUGGUCCUGCUGAUUCUCGUGCCCUGUUCUACUUUGGCUUGUUCAUACCUGUUUGUGACCAAGUCUAGUUGUUGCUCAAAACAGAAGUGCCAUACGGAAAGGACUGUGAGUUUAUUGCCACCAUCAGCUCCCAGCAAGCCCUAGAGGGACAUCCCGAAUGAACUGACCCUCCUGGGAGUCCUUUCAUCUGAGGAGGAAGGCCCACACAAUGGCUUUUGGGAAAGCUUUGUCACCGUGACUGCUUCCUGACAGAGUAUGUAGGGACCACAUUAUCCCUGGGAAGUGAGAUAACCAGUAGAUGCAAAACUUUGAGAUGCAGAAGUGCACAGCUGAGACCACUAGCCAUCAGUUGGAGUCACAGCAACACAGUUCAUGAAUGAGGUGCUGAUAGGCCACACAGGAGCACUGAAGUGUGCUCUGCCCUGUGGAGAACUGCAACCCUCCAUGUCUACCAGCACGGCUGGUCAGUGCAGGCAAAGCUGUGGUUAUAAAGCCAAACUCCAAGUGCCCUGUAUUCAGCUUGUGAAAUUUGUGGCCCAAACUCCUCCUGGCGUAGAGUACGGGUGGUGCCAAUUCUUUCUUCAAAUGGAUUGACGACCAGCUUUCCAAAAGGAAGAGCAGCACCUGACAGCGGCUUCUGAGGUCUGGACUGAGCAUGGCAGCUGGAAGGACCCUGGAAGCAGUGAAGGUGUCACCAACUUUGGUGAAUGUCAGUAUCCUCUUCGAAUGUCACCAGGACCAUUUGGGAAUUCUGGACAAUUAGCACACCAAGCAACAUUUACUAUGUACAGCUGCAAAAUGUAAGUCUCAGAAUUCCUGCGUUAUCACUGGAAAUGAAGCUAUUUAUAGAGAGAUGUCCUGGUGGAUACAAACAUUUCUGAGAAACAGCAGAAACAAGAUAAGGUAUUAACGCUCUUGCAACUAAUCACAUUGAUAGGUUCAUGGGGUAUGCUUUCAUGGUCUGUGCUCAUAGAAAGACAGGAUGAACUGGCAUGUCUGAGUGCCUUCCUGCCAGAGGGAUAUCAUACUAGUUAGUUUGAAAUCCUUACAUUAAAAAGUAUAGUUACUUCAACGAUCCCAUUUUAUUCCUAGCAUAGGUGAAAACAUUUAAAGCUACACUUAACUGCGGCAAAUAUCGUGUGUAAUGCAGGCCAUGAUCUCUGUGCAAACUAAUGCAGGUCAGUUUGAAAGCAAUGUUAUUAAAACAGUUCUGAAAAACAAAAAUCCAACCUAUGCAGAAGAUCACUUUGGAAAUAAUAUUCAUAAGGAGCACUGCAGUGAACUCAGAUACCUGGAUGAGACAUAGCAGUGUUUCAAAGUUAGCAAAUAAAAAAUAAUUAUUUGGGAGAAAAUAAUUUGUCACAUAGUUUAUUGCCAUUCUCCUGAAUUGAGACAGCAAAGGAUGAAUGUCAUCGAAGAGUCACAGUUGAACCCAGAGAGCUCCUUGAGCAGAUGAGGUCACUGGUUUGCUAUGUUUAUGCUGUAGCCCUGCCUCACAUUUCUCACAGGCAUCUGAAGCCCGUUUUAUCAGAAGGAGCUUUGGCAUCCAGCACAAUGACAUGUUUAUGUUAAAAAGAAAGGGUCCCACUCAUGAGGGGCAGGGUGAGGGAUGCCGGUAGGAGUGGCAGCAGUAGCUUCCUGUGCCCCAGGCUGGCGUGGGGAGAGGGGGAAAUGAGACACUGUGGCUCACACUGCAGAACAGAAACUGCAGCUCACAGGGAUUAACACACAUUGAUCAUUUUCCACAUGCCCCCAGCUAGGAAAAAGCUGAUAUGCGGAUUUUGAGUACAGCCCUUAUAACUAUUUCUUGGAGGAAAGCUUGUAGGUUUCUUCUAGUGCACCCAGGAUCAUAGCAGCCAGUGAAAGCUUCUGAACAACCAAGGUUUUCAGGAGUAAUAUCUUCACUGAGCCUGAUUCUGUGACAGACCUUUAUUCAGUGACCACUCAAGUUUCCCAGUUCCCACCUGAGCAGUGCUAGAGGAGAUGAUGGAGGUGUCCUUGGGAAGCUGUGCUCGGUGCUGCACAGGAGGUGACACCCAGCCCAGCAUACCUGAUGCUGAACAGCUGAAGAUGGUACCAAACAGGCCACAGUCCAGACACCUCUGAGAACUGCCACAGCCACGCCAUAGGCAAAUGCAGCCAGGAUGGAUAGUCUGGGGUGGAAGAAAGUACAACAAAUUAUUUUAUUGGCCUGGGCAGCAGGGUGGGGUUCAGCACACACGGCUGCUGCCGGCUCUCAGUCAGUGGGGUCCCUGAUGUCUGCGGUGCUGCAAAAGAAUGUAGUUCCCACCUGAGUCGUUGUCAUCAAGGAGGACUCUGACGAAGUUGGUGUGGUUAGAUGUGGGCAUGGUGGGCCCCCUCCCUGCUGUUUUGCAGUGUUGCCUUCUGUUUCAGAAUGUCAGACAUUCAGAAUGUAUAUGCUUCUUCAAAAUAGUAUUCUGGGAAUUAACCUCACAAUCUUUCCCACACAUAACCCAAGAAAAAGGAGUUGAUGUGACACACUGUGAACUGGAUGUUAACAGUGUGUGCUGUACUCCAUUCCUUGAGUCAGUAUUUAUUUGCUUUAUAAUUCUGAGAUGAAAUUCACUUACAUUUUCUUGUUUGGCAUACAGUUGGGUUUGACACAGUAAUUGAAAGCCAGCAUGCUCCAAAGCACCAUGCUAAUUAUUUAACUCUCUCAAGCAAGGGAAACAGAGUAAAAUAUUUGAGCAGCAGAAAGGGAAAUAAGCUGGUUGAAAAAUACGUUUUUGUGAGCCGAUACUCGAUUUGACAAUAUGAAGUUGGCAAGAAAGAAAGGAAUCCCGCUUCAGUUUUGAAAAAGGUAUACUUUUCACAGAGAACAUGUUUCUUCUGGGAAUCUUUAAUUUCAUGUACAUUGGUUUCCUAUUUUAAGAAAACAAUUUGCCAUUAAACACUAUGCCAGCCAGACUAACAUUUUUUUAAGCAAAAACUCUUUGUCCUAAAGUAUUUAACGGCCUAAAGUGCAGGAAAUUGGCUGUGACAUUUGGCUUUUUCCAUUCUAAGGGGAAAAUGGUCCAAGGUCUAAAAAUAUCCCUGAAAAACACCCUCCUUCUCAUCACUGUAAUAUACCAUAAGCCAUGUGACAAGAAAGACAUUUCUUUCUGAGCCUAGCAUUGCUUUUAAUCAGCUAAAUUGGCAAUUAAGACUGUCUUCAUGUUAAACUGCUGACUCAAAUAAAGAUUUUGAUUACUGACUUCA